rnacentral:rRNA from 1 species
GGUUAAGCGACUAAGCGUACACGGUGGAUGCCCUGGCAGUCAGAGGCGAUGAAGGACGUGCUAAUCUGCGAAAAGCGUCGGUAAGGUGAUAUGAACCGUUAUAGCCGGCGAUGUCCGAAUGGGGAAACCCAGUGCAAUUCGUUGCACUAUCGUUAACUGAAUACAUAGGUUAACGAGGCGAACCGGGGGAACUGAAACAUCUAAGUACCCCGAGGAAAAGAAAUCAACCGAGAUUCCCCCAGUAGCGGCGAGCGAACGGGGAGCAGCCCAGAGUCUGAAUCAGCUUGUGUGUUAGUGGAACGGUCUGGAAAGUCCGACGGUACAGGGUGAUAGUCCCGUACACCAAAAUGCACAGGCUGUGAACUCGAAGAGUAGGGCGGGACACGUGGUAUCCUGUCUGAAUAUGGGGGGACCAUCCUCCAAGGCUAAAUACUCCUGACUGACCGAUAGUGAACCAGUACCGUGAGGGAAAGGCGAAAAGAACCCCGGCGAGGGGAGUGAAAAAGAACCUGAAACCGUGUACGUACAAGCAGUGGGAGCACCUUCGGGUGUGACUGCGUACCUUUUGUAUAAUGGGUCAGCGACUUAUAUUCUGUAGCAAGGUUAACCGUAUAGGGGAGCCGCAGGGAAACCGAGUCUUAACUGGGCGUUAAGUUGCAGGGUAUAGACCCGAAACCCGGUGAUCUAGCCAUGGGCAGGUUGAAGGUUGGGUAACACUAACUGGAGGACCGAACCGACUAAUGUUGAAAAAUUAGCGGAUGACUUGUGGCUGGGGGUGAAAGGCCAAUCAAACCGGGAGAUAGCUGGUUCUCCCCGAAAGCUAUUUAGGUAGCGCCUCGUGAACUCAUCUUCGGGGGUAGAGCACUGUUUCGGCUAGGGGGUCAUCCCGACUUACCAACCCGAUGCAAACUACGAAUACCGAAGAAUGUUAUCACGGGAGACACACGGCGGGUGCUAACGUCCGUCGUGAAGAGGGAAACAACCCAGACCGCCAGCUAAGGUCCCAAAGUCAUGGUUAAGUGGGAAACGAUGUGGGAAGGCACAGACAGCCAGGAUGUUGGCUUAGAAGCAGCCAUCAUUUAAAGAAAGCGUAAUAGCUCACUGGUCGAGUCGGCCUGCGCGGAAGAUGUAACGGGGCUAAACCAUGCACCGAAGCUGCGGCAGCGACACUAUGUGUUGUUGGGUAGGGGAGCGUUCUGUAAGCCUGCGAAGGUGACCUGUGAGGGUUGCUGGAGGUAUCAGAAGUGCGAAUGCUGACAUAAGUAACGAUAAAGCGGGUGAAAAGCCCGCUCGCCGGAAGACCAAGGGUUCCUGUCCAACGUUAAUCGGGGCAGGGUGAGUCGACCCCUAAGGCGAGGCCGAAAGGCGUAGUCGAUGGGAAACAGGUUAAUAUUCCUGUACUUGGUGUUACUGCGAAGGGGGGACGGAGAAGGCUAUGUUAGCCGGGCGACGGUUGUCCCGGUUUAAGCAUGUAGGCUGGUUGUCCAGGCAAAUCCGGAUAAUCAAGGCUGAGGUGUGAUGACGAGGCACUACGGUGCUGAAGUAACAAAUGCCCUGCUUCCAGGAAAAGCCUCUAAGCAUCAGGUAACAUUAAAUCGUACCCCAAACCGACACAGGUGGUCAGGUAGAGAAUACCAAGGCGCUUGAGAGAACUCGGGUGAAGGAACUAGGCAAAAUGGUGCCGUAACUUCGGGAGAAGGCACGCUGGUGUGUAGGUGAAGUCCCUGCGGAUGGAGCUGAGACCAGUCGAAGAUACCAGCUGGCUGCAACUGUUUAUUAAAAACACAGCACUGUGCAAACACGAAAGUGGACGUAUACGGUGUGACGCCUGCCCGGUGCCGGAAGGUUAAUUGAUGGGGUUAUCCGUAAGGAGAAGCUCUUGAUCGAAGCCCCGGUAAACGGCGGCCGUAACUAUAACGGUCCUAAGGUAGCGAAAUUCCUUGUCGGGUAAGUUCCGACCUGCACGAAUGGCGUAAUGAUGGCCAGGCUGUCUCCACCCGAGACUCAGUGAAAUUGAACUCGCUGUGAAGAUGCAGUGUACCCGCGGCAAGACGGAAAGACCCCGUGAACCUUUACUAUAGCUUGACACUGAACAUUGAGCCUUGAUGUGUAGGAUAGGUGGGAGGCUUUGAAGCGUGGACGCCAGUCUGCGUGGAGCCAACCUUGAAAUACCACCCUUUAAUGUUUGAUGUUCUAACGUUGGCCCCUGACCGGGGUUGCGGACAGUGUCUGGUGGGUAGUUUGACUGGGGCGGUCUCCUCCCAAAGCGUAACGGAGGAGCACGAAGGUUAGCUAAUCCUGGUCGGACAUCAGGAGGUUAGUGCAAUGGCAUAAGCUAGCUUGACUGCGAGCGUGACGGCGCGAGCAGGUGCGAAAGCAGGUCAUAGUGAUCCGGUGGUUCUGAAUGGAAGGGCCAUCGCUCAACGGAUAAAAGGUACUCCGGGGAUAACAGGCUGAUACCGCCCAAGAGUUCAUAUCGACGGCGGUGUUUGGCACCUCGAUGUCGGCUCAUCACAUCCUGGGGCUGAAGUAGGUCCCAAGGGUAUGGCUGUUCGCCAUUUAAAGUGGUACGCGAGCUGGGUUUAGAACGUCGUGAGACAGUUCGGUCCCUAUCUGCCGUGGGCGCUGGAGAAUUGAGGGGGGCUGCUCCUAGUACGAGAGGACCGGAGUGGACGCAUCACUGGUGUUCGGGUUGUCAUGCCAAUGGCACUGCCCGGUAGCUAAAUGCGGAAGAGAUAAGUGCUGAAAGCAUCUAAGCACGAAACUUGCCCCGAGAUGAGUUCUCCCUGAGACUUUAAGUCUCCUGAAGGAACGUU